CCUUGCACCGGCUACCGGUUGCGGCUUGCAUCAAGUUCAAAACAUUGAUGCUCCCAUAUACACUCACCUAAAGGAUUAUUAGGAACACCUGUUCAAUUUCUCAUUAAUGCAAUUAUCUAAUCAACCAAUCACAUGGCAGUUGCUUCAAUGCAUUUAGGGGUGUGGUCCUUGUCAAGACAAUCUCCUGAACUCCAAACUGAAUGUCAGAAUGGGAAAGAAAGGUGAUUUAAGCAAUUUUGAGCGUGGCAUGGUUGUUGGUGCCAGAUGGGCCGGUCUGAGUAUUUCACAAUCUGAGGCUACAAUUUGCACGAGCUCACCAAAAUUGGACAGUUGAAGACUGGAAAAAUGUUGCCUGGUCUGAUGAGUCUCGAUUUCUGUUGAGACAUUCAGAUGGUAGAGUCAGAAUUUGGCGUAAACAGAAUGAGAACAUGGAUCCAUCAUGCCUUGUUACCACUGUGCAGGCUGCUUGGCUACUUCCAGCAGGAUAAUGCACCAUGUCACAAAGCUCGAAGCAUUUCAAAUUGGUUUCUUGAACAUGACAAUGAGUUCACUGUACUAAAAUGGCCCCCACAGUCACCAGAUCUCAACCCAAUAGAGCAUCUUUGGGAUGUGGUGGAACGGUAGCUUCGUGCCCUGGAUGUGCAUCCCACAAAUCUCCAUCAACUGCAAGAUGCUAUCCUAUCAAUAUGGGCCAACAUUUCUAAAGAAUGCUUUCAGCACCUUGUUGAAUCAAUGCCACGCAGAAUGAAAGUGAAAGUGAAAGUAACGUGACAUUCAGCCAAGUAUGACCCAUACUCAGAAUUUAUGCUCUGCAUUUAACCCAUCCGAAGUGCACACACACAGAGCAGUGAACACACACACACAGCAGUGAACACACACCCGGAGCAAUGGGCAGCCAUUUUAUGCUGCGGCGCCCGGGGAGCAGUUGGGGGUUCGAUGCCUUGCUCAAGGGCACCUAAGUCAUGGUAUUGAAGGUGGAGAGAGAACUGUACAUGCACUCCCCCCACCCACAAUUCCUGCCGGCCCGAGACUCGAACUCACAACCCUUCGAUUGGGAGUCCGACUCUCUAACCAUUAGGCCACGACUUCCCUAAUUAAGGCAGUUCUGAAGGCGAAAGGGGGUCAAACACAGUAUUAGUAUGGUGUUCCUAAUAAUCCUUUAGGUGAGUGUAGAACAGCCACAGACUCAGCACCCGCCCACUUCCACUCACUACUACAAAUCUACAUCCCCUCCGGAAGUCUGAGAUCCGCAAGUGAGCAACACCUUGUGGUACCAUCACAGAGAGGCUCAAAAUCACUUUCCAGAACAUUCUUGUUCACCAUUCCUGGCUGGUGGAAUGAUCUUCCCACCCCUAUCAAGAAUGCGGAAUCCCUGACAAUUUUCGAGCGAUAGCUGAAAACUCAUCUCUUUUGAAGCUACUUGACUUCAUCAUAAAGAGAAAGACAAUUUUUUUAAUGUAUUUUUUUAUUUAUUCCUUCUUUUUAUAGCUUGUACUUAUUUGAACAAUGUCUAAAACUUGGUAUUACAAGCACUUCCUAUGCCUGUUUGCCUCUUUAAGAAGAAACGCUUUAUGCAUCCCCCAAUUGUAAGUCGCUUUGGAUAAAAGCGUCUUCAAAAUGACUAAAUGUAAAUGUAAGAAUUGAUUUCAAAAUAGCUGUCUUUAUGUAUUUUUGCUCCAAAAUACAUCAGUGACCUUCUGAUUCCUUACUCUCCUCAAAGAGCACUUAGGUCUAGUCAUCAGUUUCUCUUAACUGUCUCACGUUGUCGUUGUAAAAUUAAGGGUGGUCGGGCUUAUUCUGCUGCAGCUCCUAAACUUUGGAAUAGUUUGCCUGUAAAUGUGAGACUUGCUCCAUCACUAGCCAGUUUUAAGUCUGUUCUCAAAUCUUAUUUGUUUUCUCUGGCUUUUGAUUAAUGUCAGUUUAAGGGUUUGUUGUCAGUUUUCUAUGAUUCUAUCUUAAUGUUUAUUUUUCAUGCGAUGCAUGUUUCCUUUUAUGCUUUUUAUUGUACAGCACUUUGGCGCAACUCUGUUGCUUUUAAAUGUGCUAUAGAAAAAAAAUUUGACUUGACUUGACAAAUUUCCUCUUUCACGUAUAACGAGUGUUAAGUCCCCUCACGGUGACCCACCAACCGAAACAAUCCUACAUCUUGCCAUGUGGGCCGAGGCCUGGCAAGCCAUCCCUGGAGUGUCAGAUUGGGUUUUGGGGAUCAUAAAACAAGGUCACUAACUUCAGUUUGCUCAAAGACUCCCGUGCUUCAGCGGUGUGGUUCCCACCUUAGUGCAGAGCAAGGAUGCUC
ensembl:lncRNA